UACGUAGGGUGCAAGCGUUGUCCGGAAUUAUUGGGCGUAAAGAGCUCGUAGGCGGUUCGUCACGUCGGGAGUGAAAACUCGGAGCUUAACUCCGAGCCUGCUUCCGAUACGGGCAGACUAGAGGUAGGCAGGGGAGAGCGGAACUCCUGGUGUAGCGGUGGAAUGCGCAGAUAUCAGGAAGAACACUGGUGGCGAAGGCGGCUCUCUGGGCCUUACCUGACGCUGAGGAGCGAAAGCGUGGGUAGCGAACAGG
rnacentral:rRNA from 1 species